rnacentral:rRNA from 1 species
CACGCCCUAAACGAUGAUAACUAGCUUCUUUGAGUAUCGACCCUCGAAGUGGCGAAGCAAACGCGUUAAGUUAUCCGCCUGGGAAUUACGGCCGCAAGGCUAAAACUCAAAGGAAUAGACGGGGACCUGCACAAGCAGUGGAUUAUGUGGUUUAAUUCGACGGUAAACGAAAAACCUCACCAGGGUUUGAAACUCAAAUGUAAGCUUUUAGAAACAUUAGCCCUCCGCAAGGACAUUUGGACAGGUGC